rnacentral:rRNA from 1 species
GACAAACUUUGGCGGCGUGCUUAACACAUGCAAGUCGAACGGAAAGGCCCUGCUUUUGUGGGGUGCUCGAGUGGCGAACGGGUGAGUAACACGUGAGUAACCUGCCCUUGACUUUGGGAUAACUUCAGGAAACUGGGGCUAAUACCGGAUAGGAGCUCCUGCUGCAUGGUGGGGGUUGGAAAGUUUCGGCGGUUGGGGAUGGACUCGCGGCUUAUCAGCUUGUUGGUGGGGUAGUGGCUUACCAAGGCUUUGACGGGUAGCCGGCCUGAGAGGGUGACCGGCCACAUUGGGACUGAGAUACGGCCCAGACUCCUACGGGAGGCAGCAGUGGGGAAUAUUGCACAAUGGGCGGAGGCCUGAUGCAGCAACGCCGCGUGCGGGAUGACGGCCUUCGGGUUGUAAACCGCUUUCGCCUGUGACGAAGCGUGAGUGACGGUAAUGGGUAAAGAAGCACCGGCUAACUACGUGCCAGCAGCCGCGGUGAUACGUAGGGUGCGAGCGUUGUCCGGAUUUAUUGGGCGUAAAGGGCUCGUAGGUGGUUGAUCGCGUCGGAAGUGUAAUCUUGGGGCUUAACCCUGAGCGUGCUUUCGAUACGGGUUGACUUGAGGAAGGUAGGGGAGAAUGGAAUUCCUGGUGGAGCGGUGGAAUGCGCAGAUAUCAGGAGGAACACCAGUGGCGAAGGCGGUUCUCUGGGCCUUUCCUGACGCUGAGGAGCGAAAGCGUGGGGAGCGAACAGGCUUAGAUACCCUGGUAGUCCACGCUGUAAACGGUGGGUACUAGGUGUGGGGUCCAUUCCACGGGUUCCGUGCCGUAGCUAACGCUUUAAGUACCCCGCCUGGGGAGUACGGCCGCAAGGCUAAAACUCAAAGGAAUUGACGGGGCCCCGCACAAGCGGCGGAGCAUGCGGAUUAAUUCGAUGCAACGCGUAGAACCUUACCUGGGUUUGACAUGGAUCGGGAGUGCUCAGAGAUGGGUGUGCCUCUUUUGGGGUCGGUUCACAGGUGGUGCAUGCCUGUCGUCAGCUCGUGUCGUGAGAUGUUGGGUUAAGUCCCGCAACGAGCGCAACCCUUGUUCACUGUUGCCAGCACGUUAUGGUGGGGACUCAGUGGAGACCGCCGGGGUCAACUCGGAGGAAGGUGGGGAUGACGUCAAGUCAUCAUGCCCCUUAUGUCCAGGGCUUCACGCAUGCUACAAUGGCUGGUACAGAGAGUGGCGAGCCUGUGAGGGUGAGCGAAUCUCGGAAAGCCGGUCUCAGUUCGGAUUGGGGUCUGCAACUCGACCUCAUGAAGUCGGAGUCGCUAGUAAUCGCAAAUCAGCAACGCUGCGGUGAAUACGUUCCCGGGGCC